UGAGGCAGGAGAAUUGCUUGAACCCAGGAGGUGGAGGCUGCAGUGAGCUGAGAUCGAGCCACUGCACUCCAGCCUGGCGACAGAGCGAGACUCCAUCUC
rnacentral:miRNA from 1 species